rnacentral:rRNA from 1 species
GAUGAACGCUGGCGGCGUGCCUAACACAUGCAAGUCGAGCGGCAGCGAGGGGUGCUUGCACCCUGUCGGCGAGCGGCGGACGGCUGAGUAACGCGUGGGAACGUGCCCCAAGGUGAGGAAUAACUGCCCGAAAGGGUAGCUAAUACCGCAUAUUAUCUUCGGAUCAAAGGAUUUAUCCGCUUUGGGAGCGGCUCGCGUCGGAUUAGGUAGUUGGUGAGGUAAUGGCUCACCAAGCCGACGAUCCGUAGCUGGUCUGAGAGGAUGACCAGCCAGACUGGAACUGAGACACGGUCCAGACUCCUACGGGAAGCAGCAGUGAGGAAUCUUCCACAAUGGGCGAAAGCCUGAUGGAGCAACGCCGCGUGCAGGACGAAGGCCUUCGGGUUGUAAACUGCUUUUAUAAGUGAGGAAUAUGACGGUAACUUAUGAAUAAGGAUCGGCUAACUACGUG